rnacentral:rRNA from 1 species
UAAUACGGAGGGUGCAAGCGUUGUUCGGAAUUAUUGGGCGUAAAGAGCAUGUAGGCGGUCUGUUAAGUCUGGUGUGAAAGCCCGGGGCUCAACCCCGGAAGUGCAUUGGAUACUGGCAGACUUGAGUAUGGGAGAGGAAAGUGGAAUUCCGAGUGUAGGAGUGAAAUCCGUAGAUAUUCGGAGGAACACCAGUGGCGAAGGCGGCUUUCUGGACCAAUACUGACGCUGAGAUGCGAAAGCGUGGGGAGCAAACAGGAUUAGAUACCCUGGUAGUCCACGCCGUAAACGAUGGGUACUAGGUGUUGCGGGUAACCACUCCUGCAGUGCCGCAGCUAACGCAUUAAGUACCCCGCCUGGGGAGUACGGCCGCAAGGCUA